ACAAUCAAAAGAUCUGGACAAUGUAAUAAAGUGGAGAGGAAAACGAAAACUCCCUAAGUCAGGGUGGAAAAGAAGCGGGAUCGAGCAGAGACGUCUCCUUCACAACUGUAUCCAAAAGGGAAGGAUUGUUGAGAAAGGCUUCCGCCUGUGCCCAUUGACCUUAGAAGCUUUUAUUUGUGGAUUGACUUUUGAUCUCAACUGCACCAUAAAGAUAAACAUUAGUACCAACAAAAGGUCCAAUCACUUUGACCGUAACUUACCCCCCAUGAGUCUGAG
rnacentral:lncRNA from 1 species